GCACCCGUAGCUCAAUUGGAUAGAGCAGCAGCCUACGGAGCUGGAGGUUGGGGGUUCGAGUCCCUCCGGGUGCGCAA
rnacentral:tRNA from 1 species